CCAACAGUUAAUAAUAGCCUUCAACGAUUUUUGCUCUUAGUUUAGAAAUAGAUAACAAGAAAUCUGUUUAUGAAUAAGGUAUGAAAUUUCAUUAAUUCUAUGUGUAUUAAUAAACACACCAAGUUUCAUGCAUAACCUUCUAUAAAUCAAUCCUUAUAAUACAUUGUUCCUAAGCCUUUGAACUCUUACACCAGGAUUCCUCCCUUAACAUACUCUGUAAAGGCCAAGGCAAUCAAACCCAACAUAGCAAGCCUUCCAUUCCAGAGCUCUGCAUCAGAGGUCAUGACUCCUUUGGACUUUGACUCCACACUAACCCCUUGAAACAGUGGAACCAAUGAAGCUAGAGUGAGCACCACACUAGUUCCCAAGAACCAUGGAACUCCACCAUCUGAUAUUUGUUCAAACACUCCCUGCCCUCUGGCAACUUCCACUGCCAUUGCAGCUACAAACCCAAUCAUGGCCAAUCUUCCAUUGAUCCUCUCAGGUGCAGGCCCACCAAAUGCCAUCACAUCUGAAAACUUAGUGCUCACCUGCAAUUUUACCAUCACUCAUGUUAGUAAAGUCUCAUAUCCAAGGAUUAAUUAGCAUAUAUAACUAAUUAAAUGUAAAGAAAAUAGUGAACAGAGUCACAACUAUGUAAAUUAUAUUCUUCAAACACUUGGCUCACUCACCUUUGGUGCACGAGGUUUUGGUGGUGGUGGUGAUGGAGUAACUGGGCUAGCACUUUGCUCUUUUGGCUCUUCAGCCAUGGACCUAACUCUCAAGCUAGAGUUCCUUCUCAGGCUUGGCAUGUAGACAGAAGGAAUGGUGAACUGGUUCACCCUUGACCUGGUGGUCAUGCGGAUCAUAGGGUUAGCCAGGAUAGAUUGCAUAGCAGAAGUUGAGGAAGCCAUUGCUGAAUUGGAAGUGUUGGUUGAGAUAACACAAGAACUUGCUAUAUCAGAGAAUUUCAAGGAAGAGCUUAGUCAAGUUUACAAGCUAUGCUUUUAAUGCUACACCUCCUUUGUUUGAUGAUACAUUGAAUAGAAUAAGGUAGUUUAUAUAGAAUUAAAGGCAAGCAUUGUGGUGGACAUUUAGGUUCCACGUCAAGUGUGUAUAGGCCCAAAAGGUAAUUGGUUCACGUGGGUUCUCUUGUCCACACAUGGUAAAAGGAGGAGACGUGGUUCCCUUGAGGGCCAUAAGGGUGAAUCAGGGGUUAAAAUGGUUGGUGUUAGUUUUAACUGCAGACCUAGUUCGGUCACUACUAGAACGUUCUUUUGGUUUCUUGGUAUAUAAGGAGCAGUACUUGUCUUGUUUGUUUCUAUUAGGCUGAAUCUUGUUUUUCAGAUGUUUACUCAACUGCGCUUCACAUAUGAACAAGUGAGUCAUCCAGAUGAGUUUUUCAUCCCAUUUGUCUGGCAACUAGUAUUAUCUCGUUGGUAUGGUUCCACCUGGAGCUUCUUAUUCGUGUAGUCUCAUUACCCUUACAAUUUGUUUGCCGUGCUUCAUUUCAUUCUGCUUAUGAACUGCAUGUGCUUGCUUCUUACCAGCCUUGGAUGAGUGUAGAGAUCCAUCCCUCUAUAUGAAAAUGAGAUAUCCAUGUAAUGAAUAAGCUCUUGCGCUAGUAUAAGUAUCGAUGGAAUAUUGCGGGUUUUGUACCCGAGUAGUGUAGUUUAAUUGGGGUUGUCUAAAUGACCCAAGGUAAAAAUUGGGUUAAAUCAUCCUUUGAUGAGGUGUGUGAAUAAUAUUAUAUUAUGUGUUUUAUAAAUUCCAAGUCAUUUCACUAUUUCUUUCAUUUAUAUUUUCAUAAUAUUCAUUCUAUAAAAUAAUCUAUUUGCACAAUAAACAAAUUAAUUAUGAUAUAAUCACACAACUUUUUUUUCCAAACAAAAAUUGAGAACCCUAAUCCCCAAUUUCUUCCUUGCUUUCUUGGUCUGCUACUCUAAUUUGUUCUCCCAAGAAGCAAAGUUGCAUCACCGUCGUCGGCAAUCACCUUUCAUGCAUCUUCCUAAUUGCUUUUACUCUUAGCAUAGAGUUUAUGGCAUACAUUUCUUAAAGGGGGUGAUUAGGGAUUUAUUGAUUUCACAUCAAAAACCUAUGACAUUUGAAGAUAACUCGUGCAAUGGUAAUGAAAUAUGGUGCAGAAAUUAAUUUCUUUUUAUCAUUUGAAUGAAAACGUAAUUGACGAGGAAGAGUUUGCUUGUUUACUACAAUCAAUUGAUUACACAGAAGUUUCAUAUUUGAGAGAUUUUACUCAAAUGAUUUUGAUCAAAGCAUGGAAGAAAUUGGGAUUAGGGUUCUCAAUUUUUCUUUUUGAAAAAGGAGUUAUGUGUUAUUAUUACUAAUUGAUUGGUUUAUUAGUAUGCAAAUAAAUUAUUAUAUAAAAUGAAUAUUAUGAAAAUAUAAAUAAAAUAAAUACUGAAAUAAGUUAGAAUUUAUAAAAAUACAUGUUAUAAUAUUAUUGGCACACUUCAUCAAAGGGUGAUUUAACCCAAUUUUUACCUUGGGUCAUUUAGACAACCCCAGUUUAAUUUUGUAACAAAAUUACAGCUUUGUGUACUUUUUUAUUUAUUUACCAUUUUAGUAUAAAUCGCCACUGUUAGUGACAUUUUUUUUAUUUUUUAAAAAAUCGUCGAUGCUAUUGGUGUUUUAUUUUAUUUUUUCCUUUUUUUAUUAAAUUGCCAACCAUGUUGGCAUUUUUCUUAUUUUUAAUUUUUUUUAACAAUCCCCAACCAUGUUGGUGUUUUACUACUUUUUUUACAUUUUUUUUAAAUGGCCAACUUGUUGGCUUAUAUUUUUUUAAAAAACCAGCAAUUAAAAUGGUAUUUAAUCCAUUGAUACUCACAUACUUUUGUGCCAUUUCUCUUAAAUUAAAUUAUGUAAUGCGUAUUGUUUAUCUUUAAAUAUCGGUUCAAAUACUUAUGACCAUAGUACUGCAAAAGUGAGUUUUUUUAUAAGUAAAUGUUAGUUGUUAGUAAUGUUAGUAAAUUAGUCUCUCCUAGGGUUCGAACCAUGAAUCCUUCACCAUUCAUCUCACUCAACUCUCAUGUCUUAAACUUUUAUCACUUAAACUAACCAUCGGAGACACUAUAAAAGUGAAUAAGACACGGGUGAGUAUCAAUUGAUUAAAUACAAUUUUAGUUGUUUAUAUAUAUAUAUAUAUGACAUUUAAAAAAAACUGUAAAAAAAGUAAUAAAACGCCAACAUGUUUGGCGAUUGUUUAAAAAAAUAAGAAAAACACCAACCAUGUUGGCAAUUUAAUAAAAAAACUAAAAAGAAAAACUAAAAUGCCAAUAGCAUUAGCGAUUCUUUAAAAAAAUAAAAUAAAAUUGCCACUGACAAUGGCGAUUUAUACCAGAAUGGUAAAUAAAAAAAAGUACCUCAAAACUGUAAUUUUACUACAAAACUACACUACUUAGGUAAAAAACCCAAUAUCACGGCUUCUAUUUUUGUACUUAGUUAAAGGCUGUUGUUCCUCUAAAGUUUUAGUUGUUUCUACUACCCAGCUCGUUUUGUGUCAGCACCAUGUUUGACACUAUGUAUGUUAACAUUGGUCAAUUGUCAGUCAGCACUAUAUUAUUCAAUAGUGUUACUAUGAGAAGUGGCUAACAGCACUUAUUUUAACUCUUUUUUCAAUUCUUUCUUUUAGUGGUUGAAAUUCACAUGAAACAUACUAAAUUGGUGGUGAGACUCACAUUUUGAGUGAGAACCCAAAUAAAUUUCAAUCAUUGUGCUAAAAAGAGAGGGUCGAUAGCAUAAACAAAAGCAAAAUAUUGAGUUAAUUAAUAUUUUAUUAUUUAACAUUUUUGACUCAAGUUAAUUUUAUGGACAACCACUCCAAGCUUCCCAAGUCCAUAUGUGUCAACUUCUAUCUCAGUCUCAGGUGUAACCUUCUCUCUGAAGGGUUUGGCAACCAAGAAAAAAAAGGACAUGUUGAGUGAAACCCAAAUAAAUUUCAAUUAAUAUGUGUUAAAAAGAUAUGGUCGAUAGCAUGAACGGAAGCAGAAUAUUUAGUUAAUUAGUAUUUUAUGAUUUAAUAAUAUUGUUGACUCAAGUCAUAUUCAAGUCAAUUUUAUGAACAACCACUUGAGUUAAUUAGUAUUUUAUGAUUUAACAUUGUCGACACAAGUCAUACUCAAGUCAAUUUUAUGAACAACCCCUCCCAGCUUCCCAAAUUCAUGUGUGUAACCUUCUCUCUCAAGUGUUUGGCAACCAAGAAAAAAAGGACAUAUUGAGAGUAAUUCAAAUAAAUGUUAAUCAUUAUGUGUUAAAAAAAGUGGGUCGACAGCAUAAACAAAAGCAGAAUAUUGAGUUAAUUAGUAUUUUAUGAUUUAACAUUGCCAACUCAAGUCAUACUCAAGUCAAUUUUAUGAACAACCCCUCCAAGCUUCCCAAGUCCAUAUGUGUAAACUUAUCUCCCAGCUGUAAUCUUCUGUCUCAAGUGUUUGGCAACCAAGAAAGAAAGGACAUGUUGUGCUUUCUCUAUGAUUAAGAGUGAAAGUUCCAUUCGGUAUCCUGAAAUGUAAUUUAAGUAUCUGCUAUUGCAAUUGGCCAAUUGUCAUCGAAUCUAUCAUUAUGAAGUAUGAACUAGUUUAAUGACAUUUCAAUGUUAUCCUGAAUGCAUUGUUAGAUAGAUAUUAGCUAUUACAAUAGUUAAAGGUUUACUGCAGGUUACCCCACACAAAUGGUCUGAAUGUUUUAACCACAUUAAUUUUCUGUUUAUUAUAAUUGCAAUUGCCGGAUAGUAAUUACCUGAUUCUCAUUAGCAAGAACUUCAUCAUGUUUUCCAAUUUCCAACUUUUCUCCAUGUGUGCAGUUUAAGUUAUUCGAUUAAGGCAGGUUAACAAUACAUUGUUUGAUUUGUAUGGAUCACAACAGUUAAUAAUAGCCUUCAACGAUUUUUGCUCUUAGUUUAGAAGUGAUAACAAGAAAUCUGAUUAUGAUUAAGGUAUGAAAUUUCAUUAAUUCUAUAUGUGCAUUAAAAAACACACCAAGUUUCAUACAUCACCUACUAUAAAACAAUCCUUAUAAGACAUUGUUCCUAAGCCUUUGAACUCUUACACCAGGGUUCCUCCCUUAACAUACUCUGUAAAGGCCAAGGCAAUCAAACCCAACAUAGCAAGCCUUCCAUUCCAGAGUUCUGCAUCAGAGGUCAUGAGACCUUUGGAUUUUGACUCCACACUAACCCCUUGAAACAGUGGAACCAAAGAAGCAAGAGUGAACACCACACUUGUCCCCAAGAACCAUGGAACUCCACCAUCUGAUAUUUGUUCAAACACUCCCUGCCCUCUGGCAACUUCCACUGCCAUUGCAGCUACAAACCCAAUCAUGGCUAGUCUUCCAUUGAUCCUCUCAG
rnacentral:lncRNA from 1 species